rnacentral:tRNA from 1 species
GGAUUGUGGCUCAGUGGUAGAGCACUUGCCUAGAGUGUGCAAAGCCCUGAGUUCAAUUCUCAGCACCA